rnacentral:rRNA from 1 species
AAAGGAAUUGACGGGGGCCCGCACAAGCGGUGGAGUAUGUGGCUUAAUUCGAUGCAACGCGAAGAACCUUACCUGGCCUUGACAUGCUUUGGACCGGCGCUGAAAGGCGCCCUCUCUUCGGAGCCGGAGCACAGGUGCUGCAUGGCUGUCGUCAGCUCGUGUCGUGAGAUGUUGCGUUAAGUCGCGCAACGAGCGCAACCCCUGUCCUUAGUUGCCAUCGGGUAAUGCCGGGCACUUUAAGGAGACAAACUCUCUUUGAGAGUGGGAAGGUGGGGAUGACGUCAAGUCAGGAUGGCCCUUACGGCCAGGGCUGCACACGUACUACAAUGCCCGGUACAGAGGGACGCUACGCCGCGAGGCGACGCAAAUCUCAAAAACCGGGCCCAGUUCAGAUUGUAGUCUGCAACUCGACUACAUGAAGUUGGAAUCGCUAGUAAUGGCGCAUCAGCUACGGCGCCGUGAAUACGUUCCCGGGCCUUGUACACACCGCCCGU